rnacentral:rRNA from 1 species
GACGAACGCUGGCGGCGUGCUUAACACAUGCAAGUCGAACGGAAAGGCCCUGCUUUUGUGGGGUGCUCGAGUGGCGAACGGGUGAGUAACACGUGAGUAACCUGCCCUUGACUUUGGGAUAACUUCAGGAAACUGGGGCUAAUACCGGAUAGGAGCUCCUGCUGCAUGGUGGGGGUUGGAAAGUUUCGGCGGUUGGGGAUGGACUCGCGGCUUAUCAGCUUGUUGGUGGGGUAGUGGCUUACCAAGGCUUUGACGGGUAGCCGGCCUGAGAGGGUGACCGGCCACAUUGGGACUGAGAUACGGCCCAGACUCCUACGGGAGGCAGCAGUGGGGAAUAUUGCACAAUGGGCGGAAGCCUGAUGCUGCAACGCCGCGUGCGGGAUGACGGCCUUCGGGUUGUAAACCGCUUUCGCCUGUGACGAAGCGUGAGUGACGGUAAUGGGUAAAGAAGCACCGGCUAACUACGUG